GGUCCCAUGGUGUAAUGGUGAGCACUCUGGACUUUGAAUCCAGCGAUCCGAGUUCGAGUCUCG
rnacentral:tRNA from 1 species